rnacentral:rRNA from 5 species
CUCUCGGCAACGGAUAUCUCGGCUCACGCAUCGAUGAAGAACGUAGCAAAAUGCGAUACUUGGUGUGAAUUGCAGAAUCCCGUGAACCAUCGAGUUUUUGAACGCAAGUUGCGCCCGAAGCCAUUCGGUUGAGGGCACGUCUGCCUGGGCGUCAGCAUCGCGUC